UGAACCCGAGUAAACUCAAAU
rnacentral:piRNA from 1 species